rnacentral:rRNA from 1 species
AAUACAUGAGGAGCAAGCGUUAUCCACAUUGACUGAGUGUACUAAAUACUACGGUGAUUACAAUUAGAUUUUUGUUAAAAGGUAUAAAAACUUAAAAUAAAAAUAAAUUCGUAAAUUCUAAUUUUUAAUAAGAAAAUGGAGACUUAUAGAACAGCGAUUAAAUGCAGUCACACUAUAUAGCUUGCCAGAAACUAAGGUGCUUUUCUAUUAAAAAUUUUAGCUGAUGUAUGAAAGUAUGGGUAUCGAUAAGGAUUAGUUUCCCUAGUAGUCCGUACUGUAAAAGAUGAAUACUUUAUGAUUUUUUUAAUCAGGAAUAGUUAACGCAAAGUAUUCCGCUCGGGGAGUAUUAUCGCAAGAUUAAAACUUAACUGAAUUGGCGGGAAUUUGUUCGAACGGUGGAACAUGUGGUUUAAUGCGAUAAUCCACGCAAAAUCUUACCAACGUUUAAGGCUUUAUUAGUAGUAUAAUUAAUAUUAAAACUAAUUAAUAAAGUACGGAAUUGCAUGGCUGUCGUCAGUUCGUGCUGUGAAGUUUCGGAUUAAGUUUUUCUUAACGAAUGUAACCUUAUAAGUAAGUUUUUAAUGGUUAUUAACUAAAUAUAAACUGUUAUUUUUAUUUAAUCUAUUUUCAAUUAAAAUAAAUUUCAUUUUGUUUAUUUUGAGGAUAGGGGUUAUAAGCUGAAGUCAAGUCCCUAUGGUCUUUAUAUGUUGGGCUACACACGUGUUACAAGGGUAAAAACAAAGAGACGCAAUAGAGCAACCUGGAGCUAAUCUCGAAAAAUUACCUUAGUUCAGAUUGUUUCAUGAAAUUCUGAAGCAUGAAGAUGAAAUCGUUAGUAAUUGUAAAUUAUAAUGUUACAGUGAAAUAAUAGUCAAAUUUUGCACACACCGCCCAUCACGCUCGGAAAGUCGAUAUUGGUGGAAGAUUUGAAAAAGCUUUCAAAAAACAAUUAAAUUUAUUUAAAAAAAUCUAGUUGUUGUUUUUAUGUUAUUCUUUAACGUUGUCAGUAAGAGUAGUAUUGAAUCUAGUAUUGGUAAUUUGAGUGAAGUUGACACAAGGUACUGGUAGGGGAACCUGUUGGUGGAAUACAUAAUUA